rnacentral:rRNA from 1 species
UACGGGGGGGGCAAGCGUUGUUCGGAAUUACUGGGCGUAAAGGGCGCGUAGGCGGCCGGCUAAGUCGAACGUGAAAUCCCCGGGCUCAACCCGGGAACUGCGUCCGAUACUGGUCGGCUUGAAUUCGGGAGAGGGAUGCGGAGUUCCAGGUGUAGCGGUGAAAUGCGUAGAUAUCUGGAGGAACACCGGUGGCGAAGGCGGCAUCCUGGACCGACAUUGACGCUGAGGCGCGAAAGCCAGGGGAGCAAACGGG